ACAGCCAUAUCAAGUUGAAACACCGUAUUUCCAAGAUCACCGAAGUUAAGCAACGUUGAGCCUGGUCAGUACCUCUAUCGGUGACUAUUUGGGUAUACCAGGUGCUGUAAG